CCUACGGGUGGCAGCAGUGGGGGAUAUUGCACAAUGGGGGGAACCCUGAUGCAGCGACGCCGCGUGGGUGAAGAAGCGCCUCGGCGCGUAAAGCCCUGUCAGCAGGGAAGAAAAUGACGGUACCCGAAGAAGAAGCCCCGGCUAACUACGUGCCAGCAGCCGCGGUAAUACGUAGGGGGCAAGCGUUAUCCGGAUUUACUGGGUGUAAAGGGGGCGGAGGCGGCGAUGCAAGCCAGGAGUGAAAGCCCGGGGCCCAACCCCGGGACUGCUCUUGGAACUGCGUGGCUGGAGUGGAGGAGGGGCAGGCGGAAUGCGUGGUGUAGCGGUGAAAUGCGUAGAUAUCAGGAGGAACGCCGGUGGCGAAGGCGGUCUGCUGGACUGCAACUGACGUUGAGGCCCGAAAGCGUGGGGAGCAAACAGGAUUAGAUACCCCAGUAGUC
rnacentral:rRNA from 1 species